UACGUAGGGGUGCAAGCGUUAAUCGGAAUUACUGGGGCGUAAAAGCGCACGAGGCGGAUCGAUCAGUCAGGGGUGAAAUCCCAGAGCUCAACUCUGGAACUGCCUUUUGAUACUGUCGAUCUGGAGUAUGGAAGAGGUGAGUGGAAUUCCGAGUGUAGAGGUGAAAUUCGUAGAUAUUCGGAGGAACACCAGUGGCGAAGGCGGCUCUGGUCCAUUACGUGACGCUGAGGUGCGAAAGCGUGGGGAGCACACAGGG
rnacentral:rRNA from 1 species